rnacentral:rRNA from 1 species
UACGUAGGGGGCAAGCGUUGUCCGGAUUUAUUGGGCGUAAAGAGCGUGUAGGCGGCUUCACAGGUCUGCUGUGAAAACUCGAGGCUCAACCUCGAGCUGUCGGUGGAAACCGUGGGGCUAGAGUCCGGAAGAGGAGAGUGGAAUUCCCGGUGUAGCGGUGAAAUGCGCAGAUAUCGGGAAGAACACCCGUGGCGAAGGCGGCUCUCUGGGACGGUACUGACGCUGAGACGCGAAAAGCGUGGGGAGCAAACAGG